rnacentral:rRNA from 1 species
GACGAACGCUGGCGGCGCGCUUAACACAUGCAAGUCGAGCGAGAACCGGGGCUUCGGCCCCCGGGAAAGCGGCGAACGGGUGAGUAACACGUGGGUAAUCUGCCCUCGGCAUCGGGAUAGCCCGGGGAAACCCGGAUUAAUACCGGAUAGCCUCCGGAGCCUUCGGGCGCCGGAGAAAAGGUAGCUUCGGCCUCUGGCCGAGGACGAGCCCGCGGCGGAUUAGCUUGUUGGUGGGGUAACGGCCUACCAAGGCGACGAUCCGUAGCUGAUCUGAGAGGACGAUCAGCCACACUGGGACUGAGACACGGCCCAGACUCCUACGGGAGGCAGCAGUGGGGAAUCUUGCGCAAUGGGCGAAAGCCUGACGCAGCGACGCCGCGUGCGGGAAGAAGGCCUUCGGGUUGUAAACCGCUUUCAGGAGGGACGAAGCCACUCGGGUUAAUAGCCCAGAGGGUGACGGUACCACCAGAAGAAGCCCCGGCUAACUACGUGCCAGCAGCCGCGGUAAAAC